CUCAAUGCGUUCAAAACCAAAAAUGGUUACUCUGACUCUUAAUCUUACAAACUUAUAUCUAUAAUAUAUGUCCUUUAAUAUGUUCUAUAAUAUCCUAUAAUAUGUGUUAUUAUAUUUUAAAAGUCUUCUGAAUUAUUUUCCUUGCAAUUUAUAAUAAUAAACUGCAUUAUAUAGAAUUACAAGUAUAAAUUUUUCAGGUGAACAAGGUUAUGUUAAUUGGAGGGAAACAUGAAAAGAAUUUUAUUAGAAGAAGUUUGAGGGCUACAUUUUCUGAUGACUUAGCCUCCAUGUGUUCAUGAACUGGCCAAAAAAAUAAUUAUAAAAUUGGAGAUACGCACACACAAUUCUGAGCAUUAAAAAAGCUUUUAGAGCAAUAUUCCCUCGGAAUACAGAAAAAGAUUUUCAACACUUUGUAAUGGAGUGGUUCAGAUUCGCAAACGUCCGUAAGAAAAAAAAAACAUUAAAAAGGAAGUGAUAAAUAUAUUAUCUUACUUGCGUGGCUCCGCGCGAGUGAUUAUUAUAGUAACAAAUUUUUUUAUUUGAAAGAUGAGUUUUAUCCCAAAACCUUACGCUAGGAUCAGUGAUCUUCACCAAAGAUAUUAUUGUGAUAAACUGAAAACUGUAAUAUAUGGUAUAUAUUAUUUUUAUAUAAAUAAAACUUUUUUAUGAUAA